AACUAUACUAAAACGCAAACGGCAAAACGACAAACAAAAUGAAUAGUGACGCGACCAUUCUACCGCUCUCUUGCCUGGUAAACUGUCCCUCCAGCUGUUGAAUUUUUGUGGCACCGAUUAUGUUCAACGAAAUUACACAGUCCACCUGUUGAUCUACGGAGCCACCACCUGUUAGGAGAAGCUGCCACCGAUUACUGUUGGCGUGGCCUUGCUCUGCAGAAAUAUAGAGGUAGACAUUAUGGUGAGAUACAGGGUCUACUUCUUUCCUCUGCACAAAGAGAGAGAGAGAGAGCGAAGGGACUAGAGGAAGAAGACGUGACUUAGCAGUAAGUUCCUGCUCCCAGGCGUUGUUAUUCAUCAAUAGGUAUGGACUCUUGCCGCUGCAUCUCACCGGGAAAAUGCAGGUAUAUCAAUAGGGUUUGAUCUUGGAAUUUCAAGAUGCUGGCCAAUUUUGUUCAUAGAAUGAAUGGACCAACACCUUUGUGAGUGUAGUACUCUUGCUGCCUGCCAGGACUCCACCAUGCUUAAGAAAAUUCUGAGCAAAUUCACCUCGCAAGCCAAAAUCUGUCACUAGAUUCCACUGGAAGUGAUUCUGGCAACAAUAGUCCUAAUUUGGGCAGUGGUUUCCAAUGAACAAUUGGUGGGAGUUCUCUUGCAAGCAAAUUGAAUGUUGUCAAACGGGUGUCUUCAGUUGUUUGCCCAGCAAGCAUUUCAGCUGGAGCAGAGGUAGUGGAGCCUCAUCUGUCUUUCAAAGAGGUUUCAAAUCCACAGAAGCAGAAUCUGUUUAUCAGUAAGUUGAACGUUUGCUGCGAGAUCAUUGAUUCUAUCGAUCCAGCUAAGCGGCAAGAUCUUAAGCGUGAAACAUUGAUUGAGCUGCAGGUCGCACCAUAUAAGGGAAGGAAGGGUGAGUCAAAUUGGGGUCUUAACACAUCUAGAGAAUUACAAGUACUCAAUCGUAUCUGGAAUCUUGAAGAACAGCAUGCAUCUAAUAUAUCAUUGGUAAAAGCACUGAAACGGAUCAUUCUAAGGCUAUAAUUCAAGAGUUGGUGCAUGAAAAGCAAUGGGAUAGGCAAGAAAUGGACGACUUGACGAAGCAAGUUUUAGACCAAAGCCGACUCAAAACUGAUGUUCAGUUGGUCAGGGUUCGUCAAGUCUUAGACCAAAGCCGACUCAAAACUGAUGUUCAGUUGGUCAGGGUUCGUCAAGUCUUAGACCAAAGCCGACUCAAAACUGAUGUUCAGUUGGUCAGGGGAUGAGCUAGAAGGUGAAAGGAAAUUGAGAAAGCAUCCGGAUUUUUGGGACAAGUAAAACAAUGUAUAAUGAAGUUUUAAUGUAUAAUUUCGAAAUCUGGCUAAGUACAACAUUGUAUAAUGUAGUUUUAUUGUAUGUAAUAUAUCUAUAACGUAGUUUCGAUGUAAAUUCACCAAUAUCAAUAGUAUACCCGCAGCAUCGCGCGGGUUUUUUGCCUAGU